GACGAACGCUGGCGGCGUGCCUAAUACAUGCAAGUCGAGCGGACCGGAUUGGGGCUUGCCUUGAUUCGGUCAGCGGCGGACGGGUGAGUAACACGUGGGCAACCUGCCCGCAAGACCGGGAUAACUCCGGGAAACCGGAGCUAAUACCGGAUAACACCGAAGACCGCAUGGUCUUCGGUUGAAAGGCGGCCUUUGGGCUGUCACUUGCGGAUGGGCCCGCGGCGCAUUAGCUAGUUGGUGAGGUAACGGCCCACCAAGGCGACGAUGCGUAGCCGGCCUGAGAGGGUGACCGGCCACACUGGGACUGAGACACGGCCGAGACUCCUACGGGAGGCAGCAGUAGGGAAUCUUCCGCAAUGGGCGAAAGCCUGACGGAGCGACGCCGCGUGAGCGAAGAAGGCCUUCGGGUCGUAAAGCUCUGUUGUGAGGGACGAAGGAGCGUCGUUCGAAGAGGGCGGCGCGGUGACGGUACCUCACGAGAAAGCCCCGGCUAACUACGUG
rnacentral:rRNA from 1 species